rnacentral:rRNA from 1 species
GGUUAAGCGACUAAGCGUACACGGUGGAUGCCCUGGCAGUCAGAGGCGAUGAAGGACGUGCUAAUCUGCGAUAAGCGUCGGUAAGGUGAUAUGAACCGUUAUAACCGGCGAUUUCCGAAUGGGGAAACCCAGUGUGAUUUCGUCACACUAUCAUUAACUGAAUCCAUAGGUUAAUGAGGCGAACCGGGGGAACUGAAACAUCUAAGUACCCCGAGGAAAAGAAAUCAACCGAGAUUCCCCCAGUAGCGGCGAGCGAACGGGGAGGAGCCCAGAGCCUGAAUCAGUGUGUGUGUUAGUGGAAGCGUCUGGAAAGGCGCGCGAUACAGGGUGACAGCCCCGUACACAAAAAUGCACAUGCUGUGAGCUCGAUGAGUAGGGCGGGACACGUGGUAUCCUGUCUGAAUAUGGGGGGACCAUCCUCCAAGGCUAAAUACUCCUGACUGACCGAUAGUGAACCAGUACCGUGAGGGAAAGGCGAAAAGAACCCCGGCGAGGGGAGUGAAAAAGAACCUGAAACCGUGUACGUACAAGCAGUGGGAGCCUCUUUUAUGGGGUGACUGCGUACCUUUUGUAUAAUGGGUCAGCGACUUAUAUUCUGUAGCAAGGUUAACCGAAUAGGGGAGCCGAAGGGAAACCGAGUCUUAACUGGGCGUUAAGUUGCAGGGUAUAGACCCGAAACCCGGUGAUCUAGCCAUGGGCAGGUUGAAGGUUGGGUAACACUAACUGGAGGACCGAACCGACUAAUGUUGAAAAAUUAGCGGAUGACUUGUGGCUGGGGGUGAAAGGCCAAUCAAACCGGGAGAUAGCUGGUUCUCCCCGAAAGCUAUUUAGGUAGCGCCUCGUGAAUUCAUCUCCGGGGGUAGAGCACUGUUUCGGCAAGGGGGUCAUCCCGACUUACCAACCCGAUGCAAACUGCGAAUACCGGAGAAUGUUAUCACGGGAGACACACGGCGGGUGCUAACGUCCGUCGUGAAGAGGGAAACAACCCAGACCGCCAGCUAAGGUCCCAAAGUCAUGGUUAAGUGGGAAACGAUGUGGGAAGGCCCAGACAGCCAGGAUGUUGGCUUAGAAGCAGCCAUCAUUUAAAGAAAGCGUAAUAGCUCACUGGUCGAGUCGGCCUGCGCGGAAGAUGUAACGGGGCUAAACCAUGCACCGAAGCUGCGGCAGCGACACUAUGUGUUGUUGGGUAGGGGAGCGUUCUGUAAGCCUGCGAAGGUGUGCUGUGAGGCAUGCUGGAGGUAUCAGAAGUGCGAAUGCUGACAUAAGUAACGAUAAAGCGGGUGAAAAGCCCGCUCGCCGGAAGACCAAGGGUUCCUGUCCAACGUUAAUCGGGGCAGGGUGAGUCGACCCCUAAGGCGAGGCCGAAAGGCGUAGUCGAUGGGAAACAGGUUAAUAUUCCUGUACUUGGUGUUACUGCGAAGGGGGGACGGAGAAGGCUAUGUUGGCCGGGCGACGGUUGUCCCGGUUUAAGCGUGUAGGCUGGUUUUCCAGGCAAAUCCGGAAAAUCAAGGCUGAGGCGUGAUGACGAGGCACUACGGUGCUGAAGCAACAAAUGCCCUGCUUCCAGGAAAAGCCUCUAAGCAUCAGGUAACAUCAAAUCGUACCCCAAACCGACACAGGUGGUCAGGUAGAGAAUACCAAGGCGCUUGAGAGAACUCGGGUGAAGGAACUAGGCAAAAUGGUGCCGUAACUUCGGGAGAAGGCACGCUGAUAUGUAGGUGAAGUCCCUCGCGGAUGGAGCUGAAAUCAGUCGAAGAUACCAGCUGGCUGCAACUGUUUAUUAAAAACACAGCACUGUGCAAACACGAAAGUGGACGUAUACGGUGUGACGCCUGCCCGGUGCCGGAAGGUUAAUUGAUGGGGUCAGCGCAAGCGAAGCUCUUGAUCGAAGCCCCGGUAAACGGCGGCCGUAACUAUAACGGUCCUAAGGUAGCGAAAUUCCUUGUCGGGUAAGUUCCGACCUGCACGAAUGGCGUAAUGAUGGCCAGGCUGUCUCCACCCGAGACUCAGUGAAAUUGAACUCGCUGUGAAGAUGCAGUGUACCCGCGGCAAGACGGAAAGACCCCGUGAACCUUUACUAUAGCUUGACACUGAACAUUGAGCCUUGAUGUGUAGGAUAGGUGGGAGGCUUUGAAGUGUGGACGCCAGUCUGCAUGGAGCCGACCUUGAAAUACCACCCUUUAAUGUUUGAUGUUCUAACGUGGACCCGUGAUCCGGGUUGCGGACAGUGUCUGGUGGGUAGUUUGACUGGGGCGGUCUCCUCCUAAAGAGUAACGGAGGAGCACGAAGGUUGGCUAAUCCUGGUCGGACAUCAGGAGGUUAGUGCAAUGGCAUAAGCCAGCUUGACUGCGAGCGUGACGGCGCGAGCAGGUGCGAAAGCAGGUCAUAGUGAUCCGGUGGUUCUGAAUGGAAGGGCCAUCGCUCAACGGAUAAAAGGUACUCCGGGGAUAACAGGCUGAUACCGCCCAAGAGUUCAUAUCGACGGCGGUGUUUGGCACCUCGAUGUCGGCUCAUCACAUCCUGGGGCUGAAGUAGGUCCCAAGGGUAUGGCUGUUCGCCAUUUAAAGUGGUACGCGAGCUGGGUUUAGAACGUCGUGAGACAGUUCGGUCCCUAUCUGCCGUGGGCGCUGGAGAACUGAGGGGGGCUGCUCCUAGUACGAGAGGACCGGAGUGGACGCAUCACUGGUGUUCGGGUUGUCAUGCCAAUGGCACUGCCCGGUAGCUAAAUGCGGAAGAGAUAAGUGCUGAAAGCAUCUAAGCACGAAACUUGCCCCGAGAUGAGUUCUCCCUGACCCUUUAAGGGUCCUGAAGGAACGUUGAAGACGACGACGUUGAUAGGCCGGGUGUGUAAGCGCAGCGAUGCGUUGAGCUAACCGGUACUAAUGAACCGUGAGGCUUAACCUU